rnacentral:rRNA from 1 species
AUGGUCGCAUGUCUAGUAUAGCAUUAUACAGCGAACUGCGAAUGGCUCAUUAAAUCAGUUAUCGUUUAUUUGAUAGUACCUUACUACUUGGAUAACCGUGGUAAUUCUAGAGCUAAUACAUGCUAAAAACCCCGACUCACGAAGGGGUGUAUUUAUUAGAUUAAAAACCAAUGCCCUUCGGGGCUCUUUGGUGAUUCAUAAUAACUUUUCGAAUCGCAUGGCCUUGCGCCGGCGAUGGUUCAUUCAAAUUUCUGCCCUAUCAACUUUCGAUGGCAGGGUCUUGGCCUGCCAUGGUUACAACGGGUAACGGAGGGUUAGGGCUCGACCCCGGAGAAGGAGCCUGAGAAACGGCUACUACAUCCAAGGAAGGCAGCAGGCGCGCAAAUUACCCAAUCCCGAUUCGGGGAGGUAGUGACAAUAAAUACUGAUACAGGGCUCUUUUGGGUCUUGUAAUUGGAAUGAGUACAAUUUAAAUCCCUUAACGAGGAACAAUUGGAGGGCAAGUCUGGUGCCAGCAGCCGCGGUAAUUCCAGCUCCAAUAGCGUAUAUUAAAGUUGUUGCAGUUAAAAAGCUCGUAGUUGAACCUUGGGCCUGGCUGGCCGGUCCGCCUCACCGCGUGCACUGGUUCGGCCGGGCCUUUCCCUCUGGGGAACCUCAUGGUCUUCACUGAUCGUGAUGGGGAACCAGGACUUUUACUGUGAAAAAAUUAGAGUGUUCAAAGCAGGCCUAUGCUCGAAUACAUUAGCAUGGAAUAAUAAAAUAGGACGUGUGGUUCUAUUUUGUUGGUUUCUAGGACCGCCGUAAUGAUUAAUAGGGACAGUCGGGGGGCAUCAGUAUUCAAUUGUCAGAGGUGAAAUUCUUGGAUUUAUUGAAGACUAACUACUGCGAAAGCAUUUGCCAAGGAUGUUUUCAUUAAUCAGGAACGAAAGUUAGGGGAUCGAAGACGAUCAGAUACCGUCGUAGUCUUAACCAUAAACUAUGCCGACUAGGGAUCGGACGGUGUUACUUAUUGACCCGUUCGGCACCUUACGAGAAAUCAAAGUCUUGGGUCUGGGGAGUAUUCCCCGC